UGUAUCCAGUCUCAACUUUCCUGAGAAUUUUUAUAUGUUUCCAUUGAACAUGGAGAUCUCUGAUACUCAUUGAUCGUCAUUUUAUCUUUCCUUCAGCCAUUGUGCAAGGGGACACAUUAGAAGAGAUCUACAACCAGGUUAAGCAGGUCAUCGAGGAGCAGUCUGGGCCGUUCAUCUGGGUUCCAGUCAAAGAGAAAUUAACUCGCAUCCCAAUCUCCGCAUUUCCUCCUCCGGUGGGAGGAGACAUGCUUGACCAGCGACUCACUGGACAGAUUAUACGGUACAGAUUCCUUAAUGUUUAAGGGAGGUGACUUUCUCGAAGGAAAACCAAUGAGAUAAUACAUUAUAUACAUUUUAGUUUGUUCUUUUUCCCUUAUAUGAUCAGAAGUUAACGCUUUCAUGUCUGUCUCUGAAAAGACUUAAAGCACCACUUUGCACGUUUUUGCAUUAAGAGCAUGUUUUGGAUGGUUCUUUUUCAGUUAACAUAUGUUCUUACGUUUUUGUCAGACAGAUUUGAGCUACGUGAACUGCAGCCACCAUAUUACUUUUGUUUUCUCUCAGUUAUCUUGUAAAAUCAAGCAGCCCACUAAUUUUAAGCAGCUGAUCUGUUUUGUCACAAGUGCACAAAGAGGACAAAAACAUUUGGCACAAAAGUUCUUCUUUUUAUAUGAAAUGUCUAUUUGUCUUAACAAUCUGUGUACAUUUUAAUCAAGGUGCAUAUGGGAGUAGCUUUUAGUCAAGGUGAAAAGGAACAGCUUACAAUUAUCGUUCAAAUCCAGGUGAUGACAUUCUUAAAGAAACAAUGCAAAUAAGAGAGUAUAAAUUGUAAUGUAUAUUCAACCCUCAAUAUACUGCCUAUUUUGUUAUAAUGAAACUCUAUAUUGAGCUUUAAUUGAACUCCACACCUAUGGGAAUUAUUUUCUUUAUAAUGUCAAACAUACACUCAUAUGAAUAUGUGUGUAUGUAUAUAGAAGUAAAUAUAAAUAGAUAUAUAAAUAUAUAUUUUCCUUUACUUUUACCACCAUCACCUUUGUUGUAAAUGGUUUGUUUUAUGCAAAAACACAGACACACAGGACACAUGGACUGAAUGUUGGUGUUCCAUUUGCAUCUGCUCAAACAGUAUGAAAUAAAACUCAAGUUGGCAGUUUGUAGUCUUCAGCUCUCUCUCUCUCCUAUAUAGUUGUCAUAUUUACUUUUUCAUGUAACGUGCAUGAUUUCUAAAAGCAAUAGUCUUUGAUGCAUUAAAUAUAAGCGAGAAGCGGAGGAGAGGGCUUCUCUUUCUGUUUUCACCUGGGAUUGUGAAAAUGUCAGAGCUAGCAUGAACUGUAAACGUUAGAGGCUAGGAGAUUCUUGCCUCCAUGUAUGUGAACUUGUUGACUGCCCAUAGCUGAAGAGAGAUUUGCUUUGCCACUCUCUAACACAACUUUAACUAUCCACCAGGGAGCGCACUGACAGCAUCCCCUUUUCAUUCUCAAGUUACUCGGAGAUGAUUGUUUUCUAAAAGAUUGCUUCUCUAACUUGUCAUCAUGGCAUUCUAACACAUUUUUGACUGGAUUAUGUACAUAAUCUGCCAACUUGAUUCAUUCCAUUUGUCAAAAAGGAGAACAGCUAAUAAAAACUUUUUUUCUCAU